GACGAACGCUGGCGGCGUGCCUAACACAUGCAAGUCGAGCGGGGCCUAUCUGGUGGCAACAUCGGGGACGGUUCAGCGGCGAACGGGUGAGUAACACGUGAGGAACCUGCCCCGAAGACUGGGAUAACUCUCCGAAAGGAGUGCUAAUACCGGAUGUCCCCUUGCGGCCGCAUGGUUGUGGGAGGAAAUGCUUUUGUGCUUCGGGAGGGUCUCGCGGCCUAUCAGCUUGUUGGUGAGGUAAUGGCUUACCAAGGCUU
rnacentral:rRNA from 1 species